rnacentral:lncRNA from 1 species
GUGCUGCAAUUCAUGGGGUUGCGAAGAGUCGGACAUGACUGAGCGACUGAGCUGAACUGAACUGAACUGACUGAUGGUGGUGAAACCGUAUCUGGCUCUGUUACCAAGUCUGCAAUCACUUAGACAGAGCCUGCAGAUAGCCUACCAGAGCUAAGACCUGCCAGGUGAGGUCUCUGACUGGAAGCACUACAAGAGACUCCUGCCAGGGUCUGCCAUGUUCAUGGAGCAGGACGCCGUUUGGAGAAGACACCUUGAAGUAAGUAUCCAGUGAGGAAACAGAGAAAGACCAAGUUUUUGAAUCUGCAUAGCUUGUC